GACGAACGCUGGCGGCGUGCUUAACACAUGCAAGUCGAACGGAAAGGCCCUGCUUUUGUGGGGUGCUCGAGUGGCGAACGGGUGAGUAGCACGUGAGUAACCUGCCCUUGACUUUGGGAUAACUUCAGGAAACUGGGGCUAAUACCGGAUAGGAGCUCCUGAUGCAUGGUGGGGGUUGGAAAGUUUCGGCGGUUGGGGAUGGACUCGCGGCUUAUCAGCUUGUUGGUGGGGUAGUGGCUUACCAAGGCUUUGACGGGUAGCCGGCCUGAGAGGGUGACCGGCCACAUGGGGACUGAGAUACGGCCCAGACUCCUACGGGAGGCAGCAGUGGGGAGUAUUGCACAAUGGGCGGAAGCCUGAUGCAGCAACGCCGCGUGCGGGAUGACGGCCUUCGGGUUGUAAACCGCUUUCGCCUGUGACGAAGCGUGAGUGACGGUAAUGGGUAAAGAAGCACCGGCUAACUACGUG
rnacentral:rRNA from 1 species